GAAAAACUCGUCAUGACUGAUA
rnacentral:miRNA from 13 species